rnacentral:rRNA from 1 species
AUUCCCCAAUGGGCGAAAGCCUGAGGGAGCGACGCCGCGUGUGGGAUGAAGGCCUUCGGGUCGUAAACCUCUUUUGCCGAGGAAGAAUCAUGACGGUACUCGGAGAAUAAGAGGUUGCUACCUCUGGGCCAGCAGCAGCGGUAAUACAGAGACCUCAAACAUUGUCCGGAUUUAUUGGGCGUAAAGGGUCCGCAGGUGGCCAGGUGCGUCAUCGGUUAAAUCCUCCGGCUCAACCGGAGAACCGCCGGUGAUACGGCCAGGCUAGAGAGUGGGAGAGGCAAGCGGAAUUACCGGUGUAGUAGUAAAAUGCGUUCAUAUCGGUAAGAACACCAAAUGCGAAGGCAGCUUGCUGGAACACUUCUGACACUCAGGGACGAAAGCGUGGGGAGCGAAUGAGAUUAGAUACCUCAGUAGUCCACGCCCUAAACGAUGGAUGCUAGAUAUCGGGAGUAUCGACCCUCCCGGUGUCGUUUAAAAUAGCUAACGCAUUAAGCAUCCCGCCUGGGAAGUACGGUCGCAAGACUAAAACUCAAAGGAAUAGACGGGGACCCGCACAAGCGGAGGAGCAUGUGGUUUAAUUCGAUGGUAAGCGAGGAACCUUACCUGGGUUUGAAAUGUAGCUGCAAGCCACCGGAAACGGAGGCCGCCUUCGAGGGUGCUACACAGGUGCUGCAUGGUUGCCGUCAGCUCGUGUCGUGAACAUCUCGCGACCCUCUGGAGUAAUCUGGAGUGCAAAAUCUGGCUCAUAUCGGAGAAGCGUGUUAUCAGAGGUUGUCUGAAUCAUCAGAAAUGAUACAUUCAAGUCAUGCCUUACGUAACUCCGAGGGAAGUCGGAUAUCUACCGAGCAGACUUACGGUACGGAAAAAAAUGGUUUUGGAGUUAACGAAACGUCAACAAGAUAUCCUCAUCGGAUCCAUCUUGGGUGAUGGUUAUAUCUAUCGCCAAGGAAAAAUUCAGAUUGAACAUUCCGUUGAACAGAAAGAAUAUCUGUUCUGGAA